rnacentral:lncRNA from 1 species
AGCCGAGCCGCACCCAUCGUCGAGCUCGCUCCAAGGCCCCCUUAUCCGCUCCGAAGCUGAGCCGUACCACCGUCGAGCUCGACGAUGCCAUGUUCGUUUCGAAGCCGAGUCGCACCGCCGUCGAGCUCGUCCAAGGCCUCCCCCAUCCACGCUGAGGCCGAACCGCACCGCUGUCGAGCCCGAGGUCGCCCUACUCCUUGUCAGGCUCCUUUCAUGAUUCAUAAUCUCCGCUCACCAGGUGUUCGAUCUAUGGCCACAACGAGCCGCGGUGUUGAUCCAGGUUGCGGCGCUUAAGGCGGAGCACGCACAAGUGGCGGACGCGCUGCAGAAUAUGCUGACAAUUGGUGCGAGGUGACGGGCUGCUCUUGGAUGUCAACAGUAAGCUUUCGACCGUCGGCACGUUCGUUGACACCUGCCAGGACUUGUUCGACGAUUUCCUGGACGUCGACGGAUCGCUCUUCGCAAAUGUACAGACCAAUCCCAGCGGAGCUCCGGCAUCAACAAAUCCCGCCAGCUGCUCGGCGAACCUGAGAAAGAGAGCGGUGCUCUCUUCUCAAAUGAAGUUAGAUCCGCCCACCAACCGCUCGACAGCGAACCUGAGAGAGAGAGCGGUGCUCUCCUCUCAAACGGGUUCCGCCCGCCAAGUGCUCGAUGUACCCGGAGUCCGCCCACCAACCGCUCGACGACGAACCUGAGGAAGAGAGCGGUGCUCUCUUCUCAAAUGAAGUUAGAUCCGCUCACCAAGUGCUCGACGGCGAAAUUGAGAGAGAGAGCGAUGCUCUCCUCCCAAAUAAAGUCAAGUCCACCAACUGUUCGGCAAAAUAUCAUAAAGAGAGAGAGCGAUGCUCUCCUCUAAAAAGAGAAAGAGACAAAGAGAGAGAGCUUUGUUAAUGUUAGGGAGGCAAGGAAGGGAUUUUUAUCCCGCCUUAGUUGUCCCAUGGAUGUAAAAGAGAUAAAAGAGAUAAAGAAAAAAUGUGAGGAGACAAAAGAAAAUUAGUCGGAUUACCGAUUAAUAUUCUUUUGAUCGUCCUUUUAUUGGAAGAACAAUGCAAUGUUCGAAAAUAAUUGAACAAUGAUUCUAUCCAAGUUGAAUCUUUCUAUUUGGUCAAAUUGAGAUUUAAUUACAUUUGACAAAUAAAAAAAUGCAUUCGAAAUUUUCUAUGUGAUGAAUUUGAUUCUGAACCAUAUAUUUUGAUCUCAAAUUCUAAAUAAUUUCCUUCUCAAAAUGUUAUCUGGA